UAGAGUUUGAUCCUGGCUCAGAACGAACGCUGGCGGCAGGCUUAACACAUGCAAGUCGAACGCUCGUGAGCGAUCACGGGAGUGGCAGACGGGUGAGUAACGCGUGGGAACAUACCCUUUGGUUCGGGAUAACUCAGGGAAACUUGAGCUAAUACCGGAUACGCCCCUGGAUGAAAGUUUGGGGGGAAAGAUUGAUUGCCGGAGGAUUGGCCCGCGUUCGAUUAGCUAGUUGGUGAGGUAACGGCUCACCAAGGCGACGAUCGAUAGCUGGUCUGAGAGGAUGAUCAGCCACAUUGGGACUGAGACACGGCCCAAACUCCUACGGGAGGCAGCAGUGGGGAAUAUUGGACAAUGGGCGCAAGCCUGAUCCAGCCAUGCCGCGUGAGUGAUGACGGCCUUAGGGUUGUAAAGCUCUUUCGCUCGGGACGAUAAUGACGGUACCGAGAUAAGAAGCCCCGGCUAACUUCGUGCCAGCAGCCGCGGUAAUACGAAGGGGGCUAGCGUUGUUCGGAAUUACUGGGCGUAAAGCGCGUGUAGGCGGGUCCUUAAGUCAGGGGUGAAAUGCCAAGGCUCAACCUUGGAACUGCCUUUGAUACUGGGGACCUUGAGUCCGGGAGAGGUGAGUGGAACUGCGAGUGUAGAGGUGAAAUUCGUAGAUAUUCGCAAGAACACCAGUGGCGAAGGCGGCUCACUGGCCCGGAACUGACGCUGAGACGCGAAAGCGUGGGGAGCAAACAGGAUUAGAUACCCUGGUAGUCCACGCUGUAAACGAUGGAUGCUAGCCGUUGGGGAGCUUGCUCUUCAGUGGCGCAGCUAACGCUUUAAGCAUCCCCCCUGGGGAGUACGGUCGCAAGAUUAAAACUCAAAGGAAUUGACGGGGGCCCGCACAAGCGGUGGAGCAUGUGGUUUAAUUCGAAGCAACGCGCAGAACCUUACCAGCUUUUGACAUGUCCUGGACGGAUUGCAGAGAUGCGAUCUUCCCUUCGGGGCCGGGAACACAGGUGCUGCAUGGCUGUCGUCAGCUCGUGUCGUGAGAUGUUGGGUUAAGUCCCGCAACGAGCGCAACCCUCGCCCUUAGUUGCCAUCAUUCAGUUGGGCACUCCAGGGGGACUGCCGGUGAUAAGCCGGAGGAAGGUGGGGAUGACGUCAAGUCCUCAUGGCCCUUACAGGCUGGGCUACACACGUGCUACAAUGGCGGUGACAGCGGGAGGCGAAGGGGCGACCCUUAGCAAAUCUCGAAAAGCCGUCUCAGUUCGGAUUGCACUCUGCAACUCGAGUGCAUGAAGUUGGAAUCGCUAGUAAUCGCGGAUCAGCACGCCGCGGUGAAUACGUUCCCGGGCCUUGUACACACCGCCCGUCACACCAUGGGAGUUGGUUUUACCCGAAGACGGCGUGCUAACCCGCGAGGGAGGCAGCCGGCCACGGUAGGGUCAGCGACUGGGGUGAAGUCGUAACAAGGUAGCCGUAGGGGAACCUGCGGCUGGAUC
rnacentral:rRNA from 1 species